GGUGACCAGAUCUUGUUCUGGACAGAAAGUUGGUCGUGUGGUCCAUGGCGGGGUCAGCUUGGGGCAAAGUCUGGAUGCCAAUUCCCAUGGCUGAGAUGAUGGCCAACAUCCUGUUCAGACUCCAGCCAGCCACCCAGGAAGGAAGCAUCCUGUUCCUUUUAAACAGAGGGCCCGGCCGGCCACAUGGCCACGCUGUUGACAAGCUCUGAUCCACACUCUGCAAUGUGACUUUGCAGCUUUUGACUGGUUUCAUGGCUUGCUUCUGGCCAAGA